AUUGAACGCUGGCGGCAGGCCUAACACAUGCAAGUCGAGCGGAUGAAGGGAGCUUGCUCCUGGAUUCAGCGGCGGACGGGUGAGUAAUGCCUAGGAAUCUGCCUGGUAGUGGGGGAUAACGUCCGGAAACGGGCGCUAAUACCGCAUACGUCCUGAGGGAGAAAGUGGGGGAUCUUCGGACCUCACGCUAUCAGAUGAGCCUAGGACGGAUUAGCUAGUUGGUGGGGUAAAGGCCUACCAAGGCGACGAUCCGUAACUGGUCUGAGAGGAUGAUCAGUCACACUGGAACUGAGACACGGUCCAGACUCCUACGGGAGGCAGCAGUGGGGAAUCUUGGACAAUGGGCGAAAGCCUGAUCCAGCCAUGCCGCGUGUGUGAAGAAGGUCUUCGGAUUGUAAAGCACUUUAAGUUGGGAGGAAGGGCAGUAAGUUAAUACCUUGCUGUUUUGACGUUACCAACAGAAUAAGCACCGGCUAACUUCGUG
rnacentral:rRNA from 1 species